GAUGAACGCUAGCGGCAGGCCUAACACAUGCAAGUCGAGGGGCAGCACAGAAACAGCAAUGUUUUGGUGGCGACCGGCGGACGGGUGCGUAACGCGUAUGCAACCUACCUUUAACAGGGGGAUAACGGAGAGAAAUUUCCACUAAUACCCCAUAACAUCGAUCAAGGCAUCUUGAUUGGUUGAAAACUCCGGUGGAUAAAGAUGGGCAUGCGUUGUAUUAGGUAGUUGGUGAGGUAAUGGCUCACCAAGCCUACGAUACAUAGGGGGACUGAGAGGUUAGCCCCCCACACUGGUACUGAGACACGGACCAGACUCCUACGGGAGGCAGCAGUGAGGAAUAUUGGUCAAUGGGGGCAACCCUGAACCAGCCAUGCCGCGUGCAGGAAGACGGCUCUAUGAGUUGUAAACUGCUUUUAAACAGGGAUAAAGCACAGUAUGUAUACUGUGUUGAAGGUACUGUAAGAAUAAGGAUCGGCUAACUCCGUGCCAGCAGCCGCCGUAA
rnacentral:rRNA from 1 species